ACCAGUGCAAUCUUCCAUGCAAUUACAUGGGAUAACGCAAUUGCGACGACCAGAUUUACUAGUAUAGCAAUAAUGGUACCUACAACCGAUCCCGUGAGACCAGAUAGAGCAUUACCAUCUUGGGUGAUGAUUGAAAGGAGGACAGUAGGACUUCUUCCAUCCGACUGAUGCCACUGCAAGUCCUGCUCCAUGAGGGCCCUGAACGAGAGCACUCGAACUUUAUUAGCGAAAAACUCGAUAAUGGCGAGGAUGAAAAACAUCAAUCCGUAAAAUUUACCAGCAGACCUGAUGGAAUCUGCAGUUUUGCAUGGGCUCAACCCACCAAUCGUGUUGCCGAAGACAACUGCAGAGGCUGAAUAUGUGCCACCAACUACGAAAGCGCUGGUCAGUGCUAGGAAAAGGAAGAGCAUAUGCGGCCGCAACAUUGGACCCACGGCUUUCAGGGUUGACGAUAAAGACCGUUUCGCAUUAAUACCAUCGCUGUUGUCUUCUCCUUUCCGCGC
rnacentral:sRNA from 2 species